rnacentral:rRNA from 1 species
UACGUAGGUGGCAAGCGUUGUCCGGAUUUAUUGGGUUUAAAGGGUGCGUAGGCGGUUCUAUAAGUCAGUGGUGAAAUCCGGCAGCUCAACUGUCGAGGUGCCAUUGAUACUGAAGAACUUGAGUACAGACGAGGUAGGCGGAAUUGACGGUGUAGCGGUGAAAUGCUUAGAUAUCGUCAAGAACACCGAUAGCGAAGGCAGCUUACUAGGCUGUAACUGACGCUGAGGCACGAAAGUGUGGGGAUCAAACAGG